rnacentral:rRNA from 1 species
AGAGUUUGAUCCUGGCUCAGAACGAACGCUGGCGGCGUGCUUAAGACAUGCAAGUCGAACGGUAAGGCUUGUCACUCUUCGGAGUGACUCGCACACGAGUGGCGCACGGGUGAGUAACGCGUGGGUAAUCUGCCUUCGGGUUUGGGACAACUCCGGGAAACUGGAGCUAAUACCAAAUAAGACCACGAGGUCCUUGGGCCUUGCGGAAAAAGGUGGCCUCUUCUUGAAAGCUAUCGCCUGUAGAUGAGCCCGCGUCCCAUUAGCUUGUUGGUGAGGUAAAAGCUCACCAAGGCAUCGAUGGGUAGCUGGUCUGAGAGGAUGAUCAGCCACACUGGAAUUGAGACACGGUCCAGACUCCUACGGGAGGCAGCAGUCGGGAAUCUUGCACAAUGGGCGAAAGCCUGAUGCAGCAACGCCGCGUGAGGGAUGAAGGCCCUCGGGUCGUAAACCUCUGUCGGAAGGGAAGAAAAUAUUUCGGGCCAAUACCCCGGAGUAUCGACGGUACCUUCAAAGGAAGCGCCGGCUAACUCCGUGCCAGCAGCCGCGGUAAUACGGAGGGCGCGAGCGUUAUUCGGAAUCAUUGGGCGUAAAGCGCGUGUAGGCGGCUGGGUAAGUCGGAUGUGAAAGCCCGGGGCUCAACUCCGGAAUUGCAUUCGAAACUGCCCAGCUAGAGUCUCGGAGAGGAGGGCGGAAUUCCCGGUGUAGAGGUGAAAUUCGUAGAUAUCGGGAGGAACACCAGUGGCGA